ensembl:lncRNA
CGCCCCCUUCGCCGGCACAGGAACCCCUACAGGCUCCAGAGGCCCUGAGCGCGCCCCCUACGAGGCUUGUUCUCUGGCGUCUCUGAUUGGCCAGCUCCCUUCGCGCAGACUAGCGUCCUUUCGGCUGCUGGGUAGCUCCUCUUCCCUCGCUGGGCGAGGCUCUAAAGCCCAUGUGCAGCACAUUGAGGAUCUUCCGAUCGGUCUUCGCUGAUGCUUUUCUCGUUUCCCUCUAAGGGCGAGAUCACUGGGAAAGGAGCUGAUGCUGGUGGAAUCUUCAGGUGAUGAAGAUGGAGACUCCAGGUCUGAGUCGGCUGGAAAUAAAAAGAGACUCCCUGCAUUAGAGACCAUCCACAGGGCAUCCUUGGAAGCUGUGACCUGAAGGUGGACAAGCCACAGGAUGGAAGGAGCUGCAUCUCUAAGUCACCAGUGAAGAACAGUCACCCUCAAUGGGUUUGGAGAGAAGUCUUCUCUGAUAUCCACUUUUAAGUCCCGAUUAUAAUCCACUCGUUUCAUUCUCGCAGCACUCAGUGUGGUUUAGGGGAAAUUCUAGAUUCUCAUAUCUUGGUCAUGGAUGAUAAGGAAAGGGCCUUUCCAUAUAUGUGAGGCAAAGCAGAGCAGGGUGAGGGGGUAAGGCUCCUCAGGGUAAGGAAGGCCCUGCAGAAGAAUGGAGUGGUGUUGCGGAGGCAGGUAGCCGAGGGAGGGGAGCAGUGCCAUCAGGAUGGGUCCUCAGGGUCUGUCAGCAUCCACCAGAAUCUGGCAGAGCUAUUUAGAGAAACUGAUAGAAAGCUGUACCUACUGCAGUCACAAAGGAUCAGGCUCAGAAUCACGGAUAAACUGAGGAUUAAUGUCUCCAUUUAUUGAUAAGGAAAUUAAGUUUUAUGGAGAUUAGAAUGUUUGUACGUAAUACAGUGCUUAGUUCAUAGUAGAUGCACAAUAAAUAUUUGUUGAAUGAAGGGCCUAAGACUUUUAAUGCUUAUGCCUUCUAUAAGGGAUUGAGAAUUUACCCAUUCCGUGGUAUAUAGAGGGGUAUGGUACUGGUGCCCAGGACAGACACAUUGUGGUUGGGUGCAAUGUUUUAAAAAGUUUGAAUGUUAGUGUGCUUUCUGGUAUUCCCUAGGCCCUACCACUCCCUGUUGCCUUAUCACUCACCCAGUUCACACGAUGAUGUCAUCCGUCUGUCCCCCUGAGCUUCAGUUGUGUGGAAUUCCUUCCUACACUCUCCUGUUCACAAGUCACCUUUUAAAUAGAGCUUAUCCCUAACUCUGUUGUUUUGCCCUCUCCCUUCUCCUUCCUGCCAUUGCCUUCCCAUCCUCUCCCUCCUAUUAUCUAUCCACAUAUGUCCUCUCUAUUUUUUCUCAAGUUUUUUAACCUUGUCAGUGUCGCAAUCCAAUGUACACAUCAGGAUAGAUGCGGAGAGGGCUGAUGGCCACUCUGAGUUUAUUAUAACCAGCGUUUCAAUAUAUACAUAGCUUACAGCUGUUAAACAUACACAGGUGUUCUGGAUGAAGUAAUUAGUGAAUGCCAAGAAUUCUUCGUGAUUUCUCAAGGAGCCCUCCCUUGGCCUCUGUUUUGAUAUUAUCAUGUUAUUGCUGUGCUCCUAUACUUUUAUCUCGGAGCAGGCAAGGCCUCUUAGGCAAUGGUCCCUCCUGCUCCCGAUAUCGAUAUCGUUUCUCCAUCUGUGCCCCUGGGCGGCCGCCGCCUGGCUUAGGUUGCCCCCCCAGGGGUCUUACCAGUCAUUGGCUAACCGGCCUUCUCACCUCCGGGUCACAGUUUGUUGGCAAGCUUUUUCCAGUGAUUAUUAACCCUUCCUAUGUCAGGGGCGGCUACAAACCUUAUAAGCAUAAAUUCUUAGGCAGCUAUGCCUAAUAUGAUGAACUAGGAAACCUAAGCCAAGAACAGAGUUGUAUUCAGAUAUACCUUCUACAAGUUUCUAUUAUACAUAUUUAAAGAUACAUAAAUAUUAUUGUAUUGUGUAGUUAUUAGGCAGUUAGCAGUGCUUAUAAAUUAUAUUUAAUGUAACCUUUAUAAACAUUCCCAUUUUAUAGUUAUUCAGUUUUUACUAGCUGCUAACUACCUGGGCAUCUUGCAUGAGUCAUUUUAUUGUAUUGUUUUCUUAUCUACUGAACAAGGGGUUUAGAAGGCAUUGUCUUUAAGGAAAUUUACAGGUACAUAUGUAAGGCCCUGUGACUGUGUGAUUACUACCUGGACUGAUAAAACCUAAAGCAAGGGAAGUGGGGAGAAUGGUGUAGUGCAGAGGGGAAGCUGCCUGUUGCUAACUGCACAAAGUUCUCCUAGAAACCUCCUCUGUAAAAGGAGCUUAAGAACCUACAUCCCCAGGAGACCUCUGGGACCAGUUUUUCUGGAUCCCCUGAGACCAGAUAAUUGGAUAAAGCUGUACAUUCUCAUCCUGAUCCUUUCUGGUCACAGUCCAAAAUGUCCCUUUGUGGUCACAGUCCUCUCCACAGUCUGCUCAGUGCCACCUCCUCUGGCACCCCAGGUGCUGAGGAUCAUCCCCUUUGCCGUACACGCGUCCAUGUUACCUGUGGGGACUGUGUGGUGUGGGAAGGAAACUCCCUCCGCCUGCACCUCCUGUGUGCCCCAGGCCUUCAUGGAAUCCCAGGUCUCUCCAGAGAGUUGCUUUUUUGGGUGGUCUCUCCUGGAAUUCCUGCUGGGUUUUUAUAGUCAUUCCUCUCCCCAUUCCCCACAGACCUCCUCCCCCUCUUCCUUUCUGUUUUGCCACCAUACCAGAUGUUACUUUUACCACAGGGCCUUUUCCCUGUUUACAGAGAAAACCAAAGCCAUCAGGAGGAACUCCACCAACAUGGAAUCCAACGUAUUGAUUGUUACGUCUUGCGGAAAUAUGGGAGACAGGAAAUCACAUUCAACAUAUGAUCUGACACCAUCCCUGCUCUCCAUAUCAGCUGCUCUUUCAGUGUUCCCAUUCUUCAUGAAGGAAUGUUCCGAUCACCUGCUUGCUCCAGUUAAAACCAUGGUAUUAUCCUUGACUGUGCCACCCUUCUCAUCCUCACAUCUAAGCUGUUGAUUCUACCUCCUAAUGAUCUCUUAAACCCAUCUAUUUCUAACUUCACUGCUACCCUCCUGCUCUAAUCAUAUAUCAUCUUUCCUGGCAUCACUGUGACUUUUUCUUGCCUCCAGUUCUGCCUCACUCAACCCAUUCACUCCACAGCUAAAUUGUGGAUGUGUGCUUCUGAACUAUCAAUGAAUGUAGCCAAAGAAACGUGUAAUAUAGAUCAAUGAUCCCAACACUAAGAAAACAAUGUUGAUCAAUAAAUAAUUGGUGAAUAAUGAAUGACAACAUAUAGCAAAGUAUUCAACAGGUUUUAUAAGCUGUGGGUUCAGUAAAUGUUUAUGAAACUUGUUCAGGGCCUUGAAAGAUGUGCAGUUCUUUGGAUUUUAAAGAAAAGGAGAGAAGAGAUUUCAGAUGAGAACAAAAAUACGUGACAUCAAACAAUAUUUGUGAUUGUUUUUUGGGGUGGGGGGCGUGUUACGGUGUGAAAGCUCCCAGCCUGGAUGGUUUUCAGAUUCAAGUGCUGAGGCCAGCGUGCAGCUGGACACCCAAGUCAUGGUCUUGGUCUCCAAUUCCAGUGAAGGCCUCAGGCUUGAAAGCUGCCAAGGGGCAGCUGUGCUCCUGGUGCCAGGCGUUGGGAAUAGGAGAAAGAACACUCCUUGGAAGUCUCACUGCCGUAAGAGGUGCCCUUCAGGUAUCUAAAGUCCUGUGUUAAGGAGGUCUUUGUGUUCUGGGGAAGGAGGCCCUUCUUGAUUGAUAGAACAAAGCUUUUAGGCAAGGAGCUGCACCACAUCUGGAUGUGAACCCAGGAGGCCUCCCUGAGAGCAGGCUAAAGCUCUCAAGGACAUUCAGGGAGACUUCCACCCUGUUCUGUGUGUACCUUCCUCUCCACGAGGAUGUGCUAAAGUGAAGAUACAAUUUCCCACGUGUUAAAGUAAGAUCAUAGACUAACUGCUUCCCAUGUUCUCCUUAGUCUCAAGCUCUUAACACUCUAGAUGGUGGUUAUUUCCUUCUCUCAGGGAAC